rnacentral:rRNA from 1 species
CCUACGGGUGGCUGCAGUGGGGAAUAUUGGACAAUGGGCGAAAGCCUGAUCCAGCCAUGCCGCGUGUGUGAAGAAGGCCUUCGGGUUGUAAAGCACUUUCAGUGGGGAAGAAAGCCUUGGGGCUAAUACCCUCGAGGAAGGACAUCACCCACAGAAGAAGCACCGGCUAACUCCGUGCCAGCAGCCGCGGUAAUACGGAGGGUGCGAGCGUUAAUCGGAAUUACUGGGCGUAAAGCGCGCGUAGGCGGUCUGAUAAGCCGGUUGUGAAAGCCCCGGGCUCAACCUGGGAACGGCAUCCGGAACUGUCAGGCUAGAGUGCAGGAGAGGAAGGUAGAAUUCCCGGUGUAGCGGUGAAAUGCGUAGAGAUCGGGAGGAAUACCAGUGGCGAAGGCGGCCUUCUGGACUGACACUGGCGCUGAGGUGCGAAAGCGUGGGUAGCAAACAGGAUUAGAUACCCCAGUAGUC